rnacentral:rRNA from 1 species
UACGGAGGAUGCGAGCGUUAUCCGGAUUUAUUGGGUUUAAAGGGUGCGUAGGCGGAUUUUUAAGUCAGCGGUAAAAUGUCCGGGCUCAACCCGGGCCGGCCGUUGAAACUGGGGAUCUUGAGUGGGCGAGAAGUAUGCGGAAUGCGUGGUGUAGCGGUGAAAUGCUUAGAGAUCAUACAGAACACCGAUUGCGAAGGCAGCUUACCAAGCUACUUCUGACGUUGAGGCACGAAAGCGUGGGGAGCAAACAGG